rnacentral:rRNA from 1 species
UAGGGAAUCUUCGGCAAUGGACGGAAGUCUGACCGAACCACCGCCCCGUGAGUGAAGAAGGUUUUCGGAUCGUAAAGCUCUGUUGUAAGAAAAAAAACGAGUGUGAGAGUGGAAAGUUCACACUGUGACGGUAUCUUACCAGAAAGGGACGGCUAACUACGUGCCAGCAGCCGCGGUAAUACGUAAGUCCCGAGCGUUGUCCGGAUUUAUUGGGCGUAAAGCGAGCGGCAGCGGUUAGAAAAAUCUCGAAAAUUUAAGCGCUGUGGCUUAACCAUAGUACGCUUUGGAAACUGUUUAACUUGAGUGCAAGAGGGGAGAGUGGAAUUCCAUGUGUAGCGGUGAAAUGCGUAGAUAUAUGGAGGAACACCGGUGGCGAAAGCGGCUCUCUGGCUUGUAACUGACGCUGAGGCUCGAAAGCGUGGGGAGCANACAGGAUUAGAUAAANCUGGUAGUCCACGCCGUANACGAUGAGUGCUAGGUGUUAGACCCUUUCCGGGGUUUAGUGCCGUAGCUAACGCAUUAAGCACUCCGCCUGGGGAGUACGACNCAAGNU